rnacentral:rRNA from 1 species
AUUGAACGCUGGCGGCAGGCCUAACACAUGCAAGUCGAACGAGUGGCGGACGGGUGAGUAAUGUCUGGGAAACUGCCUGAUGGAGGGGGAUAACUACUGGAAACGGUAGCUAAUACCGCAUACCAUCAGAUGUGCCCAGAUGGGAUUAGCUUGUUGGUGGGGUAACGGCUCACCAAGGCGACGAUCCCUAGCUGGUCUGAGAGGAUGACCAGCCAACUGGGAACGCAGCCAUGGUCCCAACUCCUACGGGAGGCAUCAGGGGGGAAUAUUGCACAAUGGGCGCAAGCCGGAUGCAGCCCGGCUGCUUGUAUGAAGAAGGCCUUCGGGUUGUAAAGUACUUUCAGCGGGGAGGCGUUACCCGCAGAAGAAUCACCGGCUAACUCCGUGACAGCAGCCGCGGUAAUAC